GAGUUUGAUCCUGGCUCAGAUUGAACGCUGGCGGCAUGCCUUACACAUGCAAGUCGAACGGCAGCACGGGGGCAACCCUGGUGGCGAGUGGCGAACGGGUGAGUAAUAUAUCGGAACGUGCCCUAGAGUGGGGGAUAACGUAGCGAAAGUUACGCUAAUACCGCAUACGAUCUACGGAUGAAAGCAGGGGAUCGCAAGACCUUGUGCUCGUGGAGCGGCCGAUAUCUGAUUAGCUAGUUGGUGGGGUAAAAGCCUACCAAGGCGACGAUCAGUAGCUGGUCUGAGAGGACGACCAGCCACACUGGAACUGAGACACGGUCCAGACUCCUACGGGAGGCAGCAGUGGGGAAUUUUGGACAAUGGGGGCAACCCUGAUCCAGCAAUGCCGCGUGAGUGAAGAAGGCCUUCGGGUUGUAAAGCUCUUUUGUCAGGGAAGAAACGGCGGGGGCUAAUAUCUCCUGCUAAUGACGGUACCUGAAGAAUAAGCACCGGCUAACUACGUGCCAGCAGCCGCGGUAAUACGUAGGGUGCAAGCGUUAAUCGGAAUUACUGGGCGUAAAGCGUGCGCAGGCGGUUUGGUAAGACAGAUGUGAAAUCCCCGGGCUUAACCUGGGAAUUGCAUUUGUGACUGCCCGGCUAGAGUGUGUCAGAGGGGGGUAGAAUUCCACGUGUAGCAGUGAAAUGCGUAGAGAUGUGGAGGAAUACCGAUGGCGAAGGCAGCCCCCUGGGAUAACACUGAUGCUCAUGCACGAAAGCGUGGGGAGCAAACAGGAUUAGAUACCCUGGUAGUCCACGCUGUAAACGAUGGGUGCUCGGUGUCGCGGGUAUCGACCCCUGCGGUGCCUUAGCUAACGCGUUAAGCACCCCGCCUGGGGAGUACGGUCGCAAGACUGAAACUCAAAGGAAUUGACGGGGGCCCGCACAAGCGGUGGAGCAUGUGGUUUAAUUCGAUGCAACGCGAAGAACCUUACCUGGGCUUGAACUGUGGUGGACCGGUCUGGAAACAGGUCUUCCCCUUCGGGGGCCGCCACAGAGGUGCUGCAUGGCUGUCGUCAGCUCGUGUCGUGAGAUGUUGGGUUAAGUCCCGCAACGAGCGCAACCCUCGUCCCUAGUUACCAGCGGGUUAUGCCGGGCACUCUAGGGAGACUGCCGGUGUCAAACCGGAGGAAGGUGGGGAUGACGUCAAGUCAUCGUGGCCCUUACGUCCAGGGCGACACACGUGCUACAAUGGCCGGUACAGAGCGUCGCCAACCCGCGAGGGUGAGCCAAUCGCUAAAAGCCGGUCUAAGUUCGGAUUGUAGUCUGCAACUCGACUGCAUGAAGCCGGAAUCGCUAGUAAUCGUGGAUCAGCCACGCCACGGUGAAUACGUUCCCGGGCCUUGCACACAC
rnacentral:rRNA from 1 species